ensembl:lncRNA
AUGGCGCUGCUCCGCGGCGCCAGCCCCGCCCCCAGGGCCGGCCCCGGCCCCGCGAUUGGCUCCGCUCGUUCGUGUCCGCCAAUGGCAGCCUGCGCUGCCCGUGACGUCACCGCGGCCCGGCGGCGCACGGAAGUGAACGUGCCCGCGGGAGCGCUGCGGGAGAGAAUUGCUGGGGAUCCCAGCAGACCCUGCCGGACCCCCUGGGACCACUCUGCAGGAAUGAAGAAGAAGAAGGAAUAUGCAUGUGCCCUGGAAUCCAGGUUGACGAUAGACCACCAGCUCUACCGCAGAGUUGAAACUCUGGAAAAAGAUUUCCAAAAAGGUCUGGACAACAUAAACCAUGAGCUUAAGUAUGUCAGAGCAGAGCUGCAGAACAACCAAGGAAAGAACGAGGAGGAUAUUCCAUUGAUCCCAGAAACAUUGUUGAAGAAGAACAAGCAAGAGUUAUCAGAAAAAAUCAAGACUGUGAAAGAUGAUGUAGAGCAAAGUAAGGAGGACAUAAAUCAUAAGCUUCAGAAACUCAGAGAUGAGCUGGAGGAGGAGAACCAAGGAAUGAAGAAGGAGAAAGAGCGUGCAUGGGCCCUGGAAUCCAGGUUGAAGAGGAAAAUGCGGCAGUUUUCCAGAAGAACCGAAACUCUGCAAGAAGAUGUAGAGGAAUGGCCAGAGACCAUAAUGCUUGAGCUUCAGGUUCGCGGAGGAGUGCUGAAGAACAUGAAAGGAAUGAAGAAGGAAGAUAUUGCAUUAGCCCUGGAAAACAUGUUAAAGAAGGGCAAGCGAGAAUUCUCCCAAAAAAUUGAGACUCUGAAAGAAGAUGUAGAGGAUUGUAUGGAGGCCAUAAAUCAUGAGCUUCACAUUCUCAGAGAUGAUCUGGAGGAGAAGAAACAAGGAAAGAUGGAGGGGGAGUGAAUAAGCCCUUGCGGGAACAGAGGACUUCUGGACAGCAAUUCCAUAUGACUAUGCAGAAGCCGAUUUAUUGUUUGCUUUUAAUUGUAUUUAUACAUUCUAAAACUACUUUUCACAUGAUCACACCUAUUUUGAUUGGUGCCUCUAUCUUUUCCACAUGCUGUGCACAAGUGUUACAGGUAAAAUGAUUGGUUGAAAUCCAGAGCAUCAAUGCCCAGCUUUAUCUUGGCUCUUCUAUUUUUUGUAUUCUGUUUUUCAGCUUCUUCUCUUCCAGUUUAGCACAAUUUAUGUUUCAGUAGCCUUGAAGAGUUACAGAAAGUUUGAUUGACUGCAGAAAAGCACCAAAAAAUGGCUCCCUCCAGUGUACCUGUUAUAAACAAUAGUCUAAAGUAAAACUGUCGAAAAACAGCUAAAUAUAGUUUGGCUGGUGCACUUGAUACAGAUUAUGGCCUAGAUGGUUCAGAUACAUUGCUACAAGCCCUGAAAUGCAGCAUGGAAAUGAUAGUCCUGGAGCUUUUUCCCUGAAUUCAAACUAUGGUAGUUUGGAAGGGGCUGACAGCUGUUCUGUGAACCAGAGUUAACUGAUAAGAUUUACUUCUGAAAGCAAUUUUACCAAGGCCAUUGGCAUGGAGAUGGAGAAGAGAAGAAGAAGAAGAUGUGAAAGUUAUUUGAAAACAGUGGUGGAGACUCCUUUGUACCAAUGAGGAUUGUGUUGAUCAAUUGUAGCCAAUGAAUAAAGUGUAAACUUUGUGUAGUGCGUAAAACACAGCAUGCUGUUGUAAUAAACAGAAAGUAUCCUUCUGAAGUGUGUCACGUCCCUUUGUGUGUCCUAUCUGUCUCAACAGCAACAUGGUACAAGAGUUACAGGAGAGACAGUGAUGCCUAGAGAGGCUGAUCAGGAACAGAGGCUAGACAGUGUUAAAGGCAUAAAGUGGGUAUUUAUUGAAAGACAUUUAAAGGAAACACCUUGGGCAGUACAAGAGCUUGGCCGUGGCUCAGUUGCAU